CCUUUGGAAGAUUUUACUGCUUUUAUGGUACCCCCCUACAAAACAAAAUUCAAAAAAGGUUUAUUGUAAGGGAUCUUCCAUCCUGUGAAAACCAUUAGCCAUUAAUGCUUUCCCAUCCUAGAAGCAUAUAGAGCAGGCACCGCUCUGAUGCUGCUCUAAGACACUGGACAGCUCCAGUCUGCCAGUGGCUUCCUUUGUAGAUACCCACACUCAAGACCAUAGCGACUGGCGCUUCCCUGCCUUGGCAAACCCUUGCACAAAAGGUACAUCAUUUCACAGGAAUUUUUUUUUUUUUUUGAGAGUUUCAACAAUUUGUGGAAUUUCUGCUACAAAACAAAUUGUCAGAGCUAGGCUGGGAGUGCAUUUGUCCUGUAAUUUUUAAAUUUCCAUUUAUGUGUAUGCCACAUGUCUGCAGUAGGUAUGCAGGUACCUUCAAAGGCCAGAAGUGGGAGCAGGAUCCCCCUAGUGAUGGAGUUACAGAUACCUGUACAUGGCCUAAUAUGAGUUCUGGUUCUGAAACACCAGGUCUCUGACAGAGCAUCCCUUCAAACAUCUCUCCAGGGCCAGGCUAUUAGUAGUGGUAGAUGGAGAGAAGACUCAAGGAAGAGCAUUGGCUACUUUUGACUCCCAGAACCCACAUGGCAGCUCUCAACCAUCUGUAACUCCACUUCAAGGGAUCUGACACCCUCUCCUCACAUCCAAGGGCAUGAAGGCAUGCUCAAGUGCAUAGAUAUGCAUGUAGGCAAAACAUCUAUACACAUAAAAGAAGUACUUUUUUAAAAGUUAAAAUUUAUUUAUUUAUACUUAUUCUGAGACAGAGGUCUCACUAUGUCAUCCCAAAAGCCUACCAGUCUCUAUAGAGAUCUCAGGCUAGCCUCAGACUCGAGCGCCUGCCUCUGCCCACUAGUGCUGGGAUUGAUUACAUGUAUACUCCAUCUUAUCUGCUUUUGGUACAAGUUUGCAUUUCAAAUUCUGAAAUAUAAAACCUCCUAGAAAUGUGUGAAUCAUGAGCAAAGGAAAAGCGAAGCUGACAGGCCUGAGCUAUACAGACAUUCUAAGACUUAGCUGACUUCCAGACCUUCUUGCAAACCUUAGUCAAGGAGAGAGAAAACAGCAGAUCAACACAGGCUCAAACCACAAACCUCCUUUCAUACUGCCAACAACAUCUUAUGACUUUAGAAGCCAGAACUAGGAAGAUACGGAUCUGAAGGGACCUUUCCUAAGAAGCAGGUUCUAGGUUGAUUCAGAAACACUGAAAGUAUUGAGGUGGUAAUAGACUAGUUGUUUGUAGAGAUGAAUAUUUACGAUUUAAUAAAUCUACUCUUAAUACUUACAGAGCCGAGCCGGGCGUGGUGGCGCACACCUUUAAUCCCAGCACUCGGGAGGCAGAGGCAGGUGGAUUACUGAGUUCAAGGCCAGCCUAGUCUACAAAGUGAGUUCCAGGACAGCCAGGGCUAUACAGAGAAACCCUGUCUUGGGGGGAAAAAAAAAAAAAAAACCAAAAAUCCAACUUACAGAGCCAUAUAUUUAUACUGUGAUCAUUAUAUUUGGUAUGUCAACUUUUUAAAUAUUUAAAAGUUUCUUGGAGCCAUGUGGAGUGGUACAUGCCUUUAAUCUCUGCAAAACCAAGGAGAAUCUCUGAGUUGGAGGCCACCCUGCUCUACUGACUAACAAGGACAGCAAGGUCUACACAGAGAAACCAUCUCGAAAAACAAAACAAAACAAACAAACAAACAAAAAAACCAAAAAAAUAUACAUUUUUUUCUUCUUGCUAAUUUCUGUAAUUUUCUUUUUCUUUUUUGCUGACUUCAUUUUUCCCCUCCUUUAAUUUUCUUGUAAAACUCUUUUUUAAAAAAUCGGUUUAUUUUAUACAUAGUGCAUGUAUACCCAAGUUUAUGUAUGUAUACCACAUACAUACAGAUGCCUUUGGAGGCCAGAAGGGGGAAUCUGAUCCCUGGAACUGGAGUUACAGGUGGUUAUAUGCCAGCAAGUGUGCACUGGAAACUAAACCCAGGACCUUCACAACAACAACCAGUGCUCUUAACCUAUGUGCCAUCUCUCCAGCACCAAUUGUAAAACCCCCCAAAAAGAAAGAAAGCUCAAGAUUUGCUUCCAUUUGACCCACACUUCUGGUAAUAUUACCUAAGUUUCCACAGAGAUAAGUAACAGGUAUAAAUAAAUAAUAACAUACUCAUUAUGACUAAGUACCUAUCAUAUUCCUGGUGAUAUUAUCAAAGUUUUCCAAAUCUUUUAUUCAAGAAUUGGAAACACUUCAUUGAACAUUGUUUUUAUUUCAUCCUCAUUUAAAAAUAUUCUGCAAGUUUUCAGUCUAAUUGCAGAUGAAUGUUCACUGAGAUAUAAUCUUUCUGUUCAUUCAAUCAUCCAUCCACACACUUUCUCAUCCCAGUCAGAUAUGAGUGGACUGAUCUUGGAUGUCUAAAAAGGGUUAUUAUAAACUUGGUACGAUAUCAACAAUAAUUGCACUUUGUUUGUCAAGAAUAUAGUCGUACCAGAACAAGCCAAAAAAGAGCCACUAUCUUCAGCUAAAUAACACAGAUCCAGUUUCUAACACAUCUGGCCAAAUUGCAGACCUGGCUCAGAGCAGUCUCCUACCAUUCCCUAAACAUCCAAUGUGUGUCCUACUAAGCUGAGCAGAUGUGAGCAGACAGCGUAGUCAGAUGUGAGACCUAUGCACGAACUCCAGUUUCAUCUACAACAGAACAGUAGCAGCUAAGUACUUAAGAAACAAAUGAGCUCUAGAAAGGAACAAAGGGAAAGCUCAGCACAUCAUCAAAACAACGGGUGUCCUCAGGCUCGCAGGCACACACAGUAAGAGAUAACCCAUGCAGUCAAAGAACUAACUAACUAUUAGACUGAACAUGGCUCCUUCCUUUCCUUCUGAUCUUGUUUCAGCAAGAAUGACUGAACAGUGGUGCAUGGUGGCAUAAAGCUUUAAGCCCAACACUUGAGAGAGAGAAGCAGGCGAUCUCGGAGUUUGAGGCCAGCCCAAUCUACAUAGGGUAGGUAUCAGACAACACACAGACCCGUUUCAUUGAAAAAUAACGACUGCACACUUAUCCAGUGAGAUGGAGAAAGUAACAUUUACACAACUGUUAAUAGUUUAAGGACUAUAAAUGUUGUUUUGUCUUUUGAGGCAGGGACUCAAGUAGACCACGCUGGCCUUGAAGUCCUGAUACUCUUGCCUUAGCAUCAAUGUGCUCGGAUUAUCUGAGUUCACUGUCAUUAUCUAGCUAGCUCAAGCAGAUUUUUAAAAUAAACUUUUUUUUUACAGGGUUUCUCUGUGUAGCCCUGGCUGUCCUGGAACUCACUCUGUAGACCAGGCUGGCCUCGAACUCAGAAAUCCACCUGCCUCUGCCUCCCAAGUGCUGGGAUUAAAGGCGCGGGCAGUUACAUUCUUAUGUUAUUUUCUGUAAGGCAAUGCUGUACCUCUUACAGAAUAAGAGCCUCACCUCAGUUAUAGACACUUC
ensembl:lincRNA